rnacentral:tRNA from 1 species
ACCCGAUUAGCUCAAUCGGCAGAGCGUGUGACUUUUAAUCACAAGGUUACCAGUUCGACCCUGGUAUCGGGUG